rnacentral:rRNA from 1 species
GACGAACGCUGGCGGCGUGCUUAACACAUGCAAGUUGAGCGGUAAGGCCCUUUCGGGGGUACACGAGCGGCGAACGGGUGAGUAACACGUGGGUGACCUGCCCUCAGCUCUGGGAUAAGCCUGGGAAACCGGGUCUAAUACUGGAUAUGACUCCAUGACGCAUGUUGUGGGGUGGAAAGCCUUGUGCGGCUGAGGAUGGGCCCGCGGCCUAUCAGCUUGUUGGUGGGGUGAGGCCUACCAAGGCGACGACGGGUAGCCGGCCUGAGAGGGCGACCGGCCACACUGGGACUGAGACACGGCCCAGACUCCUACGGGAGGCAGCAGUGGGGAAUCUUGCGCAAUGGGCGAAAGCCUGACGCAGCGACGCCGCGUGAGGGAUGACGGCCUGGUUGUAACU